rnacentral:rRNA from 1 species
CCUACGGGCGGCUGCAGUGGGGGAUAUUGCACAAUGGGGGAAACCCUGAUGCAGCGACGCCGCGUGGGUGAAGAAGUAUUUCGGUAUGUAAAGCCCUAUCAGCAGGGAAGAAAGAAGACGGUACCUGACUAAGAAGCCCCGGCUAACUACGUGCCAGCAGCCGCGGUAAUACGUAGGGGGCGAGCGUUAUCCGGAUUCACUGGGUGUAAAGGGAGCGUAGACGGCCGUGCAAGCCAGGAGUGAAAGCCCGGGGCCCAACCCCGGGACUGCUCUUGGAACUGUGCGGCUGGAGUGCGGGAGGGGCAGGCGGAAUUCCUGGUGUAGCGGUGAAAUGCGUAGAUAUCAGGAGGAACACCGGCGGCGAAGGCGGCCUGCUGGACCGCGACUGACGUUGAGGCUCGAAAGCGUGGGGAGCGAACAGGAUUAGAUACCCUAGUAGUC